rnacentral:rRNA from 2 species
AUAUAGAAUGACUCUCGGCAACGGAUAUCUAGGCUCUUGCAUCGAUGAAGAACGUAGCGAAAUGCGAUACUUGGUGUGAAUUGCAGAAUCCCGUGAACCAUCGAGUCUUUGAACGCAAGUUGCGCCCGAUGCCAUUAGGUUGAGGGCACGUCUGCCUGGGUGUCACAU